rnacentral:rRNA from 1 species
CUGCGAAUGGCUCAUUAAAUCAGUUAUCGUUUACUUGAUAGACCCAUACUACUUGGAUAACCGUGGUAAUUCUAGAGCUAAUACAUGCGAAAAACCGCGACUUCGGAAGCGGUGUAUUUAUUAGAUUAAAGACCAAUGCCCUUCGGGGCUGACUGGUGAUUCAUGAUAACUUCACGAAUCGCACGGCCUUGCGCCGGCGAUGGCUCAUUCAAAUUUCUGCCCUAUCAACUUUCGACUUUAGUGUAGUGGACUAAAGUGGUUGCAACGGGUAACGGAGGGUUAGGGCUCGACCCCGGAGAAGGAGCCUGAGAGACGGCUACUACAUCCAAGGAAGGCAGCAGGCGCGCAAAUUACCCAAUCCCGACUCGGGGAGGUAGUGACAAUAAAUACUGAUACAGGGCUCUUUUGGGUCUUGUAAUUGGAAUGAGUACAAUUUAAAUCUCUUAACGAGGAACAAUUGGAGGGCAAGUCUGGUGGACAAAUCCAGUCCCGUGCUGGCGCCAGCAAGAGCGGGGGGCCCCUGCGGGCCUUCUUUCCCGCUAGUCGAGCACCCGUUCCAUGACGGGAGGGUGCCGGCGAGACAACCUGGAUCGGGGGAGGCUAAGAGGCGCCGCCAGGCGUCUUACGUUGAUCCCGAGCAGAGCACCCGAGGAGCGAUCUUCGGGCUGCCUGUGUAGAGCGCGCAAAGGUGUCGGUCGCUCUCCCCCUCGGGGGAGGCGGCUUAAGGGACGUGCCAUCCGCCUCGAAAGAGGAUUUCCUAUCUCCAGCGCCCGUCACGCUAAGGAUAGGAAGCUGCCGGCUUGCACCGGCAGUGGGAGAUCAAUACGGCCAGCAGCCGCGGUAAUUCCAGCUCCAAUAGCGUAUAUUAAAGUUGUUGUGGUUAAAAAGCUCGUAGUUGAACCUGGGCCUCGCGCAGACCGGUCCGCCUCACCGCGUGCACUGGUCCUGCCGGGGCUUUCACUAGGGGAUUCGCAUGUCCUUCACUGGGCGUGUGCGGAACCUGGACUUUUACUGUGAAAAAAUUAGAGUGUUCAAAGCAGGCCUAUGCUCGAAUACAUUAGCAUGGAAUAAUAGAAUAGGACGUGUGGUUCUAUUUUGUUGGUUAUGGGACCGCCGUAAUGAUUAAUAGGGACAGUCGGGGGCAUCAGUAUUCAAUAGUCAGAGGUGAAAUUCUUGGAUUUAUUGAAGACUAACUACUGCGAAAGCAUUUGCCAAGGAUGUUUUCAUUAAUCAGGAACGAAAGUUAGGGGAUCGAAGACGAUCAGAUACCGUCGUAGUCUUAACCAUAAACUAUGCCGACUAGGGAUCGGGCGAUGUUACUUUUUGACUCGCUCGGCACCUUACGAGAAAUCAAAGU